GGACUACUAGGGUUUCUAAUCCUGUUUGCUACCCACGCUUUCGCGCCUCAGCGUCAGUUACUGUCCAGGUGGCCGCCUUCGCCACUGGUGUUCCUCCUCAUCUCUACGCAUUUCACCGCUGCACGAGGAAUUCCACCACCCUCUCCAGUACUCUAGCCUCCCAGUCUCGGAUGCAGUUCCCAGGUUGAGCCCGGGGAUUGCACAUCCGACUUAAGAAACCGCCUACGCGCCCUUUACGCCCAAUAAUUCCGAAUAACGCUUGCCCCCUCUGUAUUACCGCGGCUGCUGGCAC
rnacentral:rRNA from 1 species